UUUUUCAUAAUUUGCAGUCCUUGCAAAACCUUGGGCACUGCAAUACAGAAGAGAAGAAGCCAAAUCAGUUUGAUCUCCAAUUUGACAAGUGAGAUGCCAUCAAGUUGUACCGCAUCGAUCAAGCUCUGAGAUACAGAGGUUGGGUUGAAAAUGAGUACAAAAUUUCACCAUCUACCGGUACCAGGGAAUCUCACUGUUUUUGCUUCCUUCACUGGUCAAUCUGACCAGGUAUUGAAUCAAAUACCCGGAUUAUUAUCUUUUGAAAUUGCGUUGAGAAAAGCAAGAGAGCUCCAGGCCUAUGUUGACGUGGUUGGUUCCUGUACUGGAAUGGUUCAUUUACAUAGUUGGCGUACUUAUUAUGAACGGUGUGAGAUUACUACUACCAAAAGUUGUGCCUUUUGAAGAUUAUUGCUGGUUAGUAUCUUUUUUUCCAUGCUGGAUUUGUCAAUGUCUAAAUGGAAUGUGAUUCACAAGCAGCUGCUCCAUCUUUUUCGAAUCACUCACAAUUGGCCUCAGCAAAACCACGCACUCUGGAGGAAUCAACUUUUUGGACAUCCUCCAUGACUAGCUAUCAAUAGGCUAACACCGUUUGAGAAUAUACACCUGCUAAUGGACAUCAUACAACUAUUUUUUGCAAACUAUUGCAGCAGCAAUUGUAAUUAGCUUUAAACUAUGACAACCUAUUUUUUGAACACACUACCACAACAUAUGUA